UACGAAGGGGGCUAGCGUUGUUCGGAAUCACUGGGCGUAAAGGGCGCGUAGGCGGCUUUAUCAGUCGGGGGUGAAAGCCUGUGGCUCAACCACAGAAUUGCCUUCGAUACUGUAGAGCUUGAGACCGGAAGAGGUAAGUGGAACUGCGAGUGUAGAGGUGAAAUUCGUAGAUAUUCGCAAGAACACCAGUGGCGAAGGCGGCUUACUGGACCGGUACUGACGCUGAGGUGCGAAAGCGUGGGGAGCAAACAGG
rnacentral:rRNA from 1 species